AGGGUUUGAUCAUGGCUCAGAACGUACGCUGGCGGCACGCCUAACACAUGCAAGUCGAACGCAGUAGCAAUACUGAGUGGCAGACGGGUGAGUAACAUGUGGGAAUCUGCCUUGUGGUUCAGGACAACAUUGGGAAACCGAUGCUAAUACUGGAUAAGCCCUUACGGGGAAAGUUUUAAUGCCAUAAGAUGAGCCCGCAUUUGAUUAGUUAGUUGGUGAGGUAAUGGCUCACCAAGACAAUGAUCAAUAGCUGAUCUGAGAGGAUGAUCAGCCACACUGGGACUGAGACACGGCCCAGACUCCUACGGGAGGCAGCAGUGGGGAAUCUUGCACAAUGGAGGAAACUCUGAUGCAGCGAUGCCGCGUGAGUGAAGAAGGCCUUUGGGUUGUAAAGCUCUUUUGUAGGGGAAGAUAAUGACUGUACCCUAAGAAUAAGGUCCGGCUAACUUCGUGCCAGCAGCCGCGGUAAUACGAAGGGACCUAGCGUAGUUCGGAAUUACUGGGCGUAAAGCGCGCGUAGGCCGUUGAGUUAGUUAAUUGUGAAAUCCCAAAGCUUAACUUUGGAACUGCAAUUAAAACUGCUCGACUAGAGUUUGAUAGAGGAAAGCGGAAUACAUAGUGUAGAGGUGAAAUUCGUAGAUAUUAUGUAGAACACCAGUUGCGAAGGCGGCUUUCUGGGUCAACACUGACGCUGAGGCGCGAAAGUAUGGGUAGCAAAGAGGAUUAGAUACCCUCGUAGUCCAUACCAUAAACGAUGAUUGCUAGAUGUUGGAAAUUUAUUUUCAGUAUCGCAGCUAACGCAUUAAGCAAUCCGCCUGGGGAGUACGACCGCAAGGUUAAAACUCAAAUGAAUUGACGGGGACCCGCACAAGCGGUGGAGCAUGUGGUUUAAUUCGAAGAUACGCGCAGAACCUUACCAACCCUUGACAUGUCUGUCGCGAGUUUAGGAAACUAGACUUUUCGGUUCGGCCGGACAGAACACAGGUGCUGCAUGGCUGUCGUCAGCUCGUGUCGUGAGAUGUUGGGUUAAGUCCCGCAACGAGCGCAACCCUUACCUAUAGUUGCCAGCGAGUAAUGUCGGGAACUCUAUAGGGACUGCCCGGGUUAACCGGGAGGAAGGUGGGGAUGAUGUCAAGUCCUCAUGGCCCUUAUGUCCAGGGCUACACACGUGCUACAAUGGCCGACACAAACCGCUGCAGAAUCGUAAGAUGAAGCUAAUCGGAGAAAAUCGGCCUCAGUUCGGAUUGAGGUCUGCAACUCGACCUCAUGAAGUUGGAAUCGCUAGUAAUCGUAUAUCAGAACGAUACGGUGAAUACGUUCCCGGGCCUUGUACACACCGCCCGUCACAUCACGAAAGCCGGAAGCACUUGAAGAGGCUGUGGUAACCGCAAGGAGCUAGGUCUCAAUGGUGAAUUUGGUGAUUGGGGUGAAGUCGUAACAAGGUAACCGUA
rnacentral:rRNA from 1 species